AAAGCGUGCGCAGGCGGUUAUGUAAGACAGAUGUGAAAUCCCCGGGCUCAACCUGGGAACUGCAUUUGUGACUGCAUGGCUAGAGUACGGUAGAGGGGGAUGGAAUUCCGCGUGUAGCAGCGAAAUGCGUAGAUAUGCGGAGGAACACCGAUGGCGAAGGCAAUCCCCUGGACCUGUACUGACGCUCAUGCACGAAAGCGUGGGGAGCAAACAGGAUUAGAUACCCCUGU
rnacentral:rRNA from 1 species